rnacentral:ribozyme from 1 species
UGCCCAGCAACUCCUAUCCCUACCUCUUCGUGGUACUGGCCGGGCGCGGAAACAACCUGUAGGUUAUUCGGAACUAAGAGAUAGA